CAAGCCGGUCUGGAGAAGUUACAAUUCAUGCAGGAGACAGCGUCAUAUCUGAAGAUUCCUGUAACAUACAAGAGUGAAACUGACUGCGUGGGGAAGUCGCCUGUUAGACAUAUCAGCAGUAACUUCUGGUCGCUGCUGGAACAGUGGAGAUUAUAGGUCUGGGAUGAAAUCCCAGCCCCCCGUGAAGCCCAUGGGAGUUCUGCCAUUAACUUUAAGGGGACCAGGACUGAUUUGGGCGGAUUCACUGUCCUGCUUUUUGUUUAGAUCGGGGGUCUCAAAACAGGGACUGGAAGGUGUCUGGGGUCACGCCCACCCUGCUCUCCCCACAUGGCUAACUGGAAAGGGGGCUGCAAGGUGGAAAGAGCUGAGAACCACAGAGCUAAAUCAUUAACAAUGAACCCCGCAAACCCCCCUGACUUACCACAGUGACGUUCACACUCCAGUCUGCCUAGGGAACGCAGGGAGAGUUCAUUAGGGUUAAAGAGCCCUUGUUUCAAAUGAUCGCCAUUAACAACAGACACUGUACUUAUCUGGCCCUCAUCACGGCAGCACCUGAGUGCCUCACACUCUUUGUUAUAUCCUUCCUACCCGCCCCGUGUGGAGCAGUGCUACUAUCCCUGUUGUACAGAAGGGAAACUGAGGCCCAGAGGCUAAGGAACUUCUCCAAGGUCACAAAGGGAGUUUGUGGCAGAGCAGAGAAUUGAACCUGGGUCUCCGAAGUCCCCAGUUAGUGCUCUAACCACUUGGCACUGCUUCCUCAGUGCUCUCUGGUGUGAAAACCAGGCCCUGCUACUCUGCCCAUGAUCUUACUUAUCCCCUCCCCUCAAGCACUGUAACCCCCUCAUUUUCCCUGGAGUCUCAGUUCUCAUGGUGUCAUGCAGGCAGUUCAAAGCGCAGCUCUGCUUCCCCUUAGCCCUACCGCAAAGCUGGAGACCAUCCCAGACCUACUCAGAAAUCUCCCCUCGGCGGCCCAGGAUGAGAUCUCCCUUCUAGGCCCCAGAAUCUUCUGCAGACUUGCUGAGUCCCGUCCUGCCUGACAGCUCCUCCGUCCCCAGCCCACUCGGCGAUUCACAGAUACUACAUGCCGUCCUGCCCCUUCCCCACCAGGCUCCAGCUCUUGCUCUGAAAUUGCCCUCAGUGUCUGAUAACACCCCUCCCUUCCCACCAGGCCCUUUCCCUGACAGCCUCGUGUCAACACUCAGCAGCCCUUUGACCCCAGCCCCCUCCCUUCGCAACACUCGUGAACCCUACAGUGUCCCCGUGUUGACCUUUGCGCUCUUUUCCACUCCCUUUACUACAGCUACAGGUGCUACCAGCAGAAACCAAAGGUGAGGGGGUGGCAUGCAGAGGAAAGGGAAGAAGCUCACUUUCAAUGAUUGCUCGCUGCAGCAGCAGGAUCUGCUUCUGAAAAACGGACUGCAGGAGUUGAGGGAGAAGACCUUCAAAAGAGAGAGAGCUGCUGAUAGUCAUCACCACGUCCUGAUUUAACGGCAAGCCCCGCAAUGGAGACCCAUUCCACUUCUUCACUAGGCAACAGACAUCCCAGAUCACCAACCCUUCUGUACGACACAUCCCCUUUUUUGCAAGUCAACUAACUUACCUGGUCGGUACGUUUUCCCACUCAACAGGAUGUCAAGUUUUUCAUACACUUUGGCUGCAAUUUCAUGUAGCUUAUCCACAGCUGGGAAUGUAGAACAGAAGUCAAGGAACGCCUUGAGGUCACUAGAAAUAUUGAACACUUAGGCACGAUCAGGGAAAUUUCUGUUCAAAGUGACCGUGGUGCAGGCUACAGAAUCUAGGAACAUUGUUUAAAAGCUCUUCAUCUGAAACCCAUUUAAAUGCUGCGUUUGGGGCUUAUGUGAUUUGAACAGCCUUGUGUGAGUUCUCUGUACUGGAAUCAGUUUCACUUCAAAACUACAGCAAGUUGGUUUUCAGACAAAUCUUUCACUUUUCCAGCACUGUCAAUCCCAAGUGUUCAAAAAAUCUGGAGUGAGGCACCUAAAAAUCAUGAGAUUUUUAAAAAAAUAAUACAUUUGCAGGUUUUUUUAUUUGCCUUAUUUUGUGAGCCUUUAGAGUACCUCCGGAACAUAUUUAUACAACCACGAGGGGUAGGAACAUACUUUAAAAAAAACACCAAAAGUGAAAGCUGAGAUUCUCCCAUAUUCCUAUGACUCCAGGAGCUGACGCUUUGAGCAAGAACAGCAAAUAUCGUGGCAGCUGGUAAUACUGUUUUGAUGAACAUGGCAUUGGCUGAAUUAAAGAUAUCUAAGCCAGUCAGAAUGCAAAUGAAAUGACGAACACAGAGAUCAUUACAGAAAUGGUGAUCAGGAAUAUUUUCAUAGAAUUACCACCUCUGGCUUAGAAAAUGUGGGUUUACUUUGCCAUGCAUUUUUAACAUGGCUCAUUUUCACCUGGGAGAUUAUUUAGCAGCAGGAGGCCUUUAUCUGGCUGUGGCAUCACCGUAUUUUAUCAAUAUCAUCUCUUAUUUUAAUGAAGAUUCCAAAAAAUAACCAACCUUUUCUGAUUCCAAAGAAAUGAAAAUGACAUUGGAGCGGUCCCUGGGAAGUAACGUUAAAAACUCAAUUUAAAAUAGAAAUGCUCUGAAUGCUACAAUUCGUCAAGCUCAGAACCGUUUAACAGAUUCCAAACUUUUAGUAUACGAGUUUCUCUUUGCAGAGCCAGGUAAAACUUCCACAUUCCUGUUGGAUCUGUGCUAAUGAAGGGCAGGCACAAUCAAAGGCUAAGGGGCAAGGUAAAACAGAAACUAUCUUUUUCUCUCAAGAGAUGUUCAUCUGCCCCUUGAAUUAACUUCCAAGGUACCAGUAGUUGCAUCCGAAGAAGUGGGCUGUAAUCCACGAAAGCUUAUGCUCUAAUAAAUUUGUUAGUCUCUAAGGUGCCACAAGUCCUCCUGUUCUUCUUUUUGCGGAUACAGACUAACACGGCUGCUACUCUGAAACCUGACACGCAUGAUGGCAAAUGAACUGAAUGGGGCCUGGGGAGGAAGGGAAAUGAGAUUAAAAUGACAUAAACAUGCAUCAAAAAGUAGAAGUGCAAGCCAUAGGCCGAUUGUCUUGUUCAUUCUGUGCAGCGGAAGAUUACAGCCCCAAGAGUUCUGGGCUCAGAUCCUCAAAGGCAGUAGUUAUCAACUAGGGGUACGCACACCCCUGGGGGUACACAGAGGUCUUCCAGGGGGUACAUCAACUCAUCUAGUUAUUUGCCUAGUUUUACAACAGGCUACUAGCAUUAGCCAAACCAGCACAAACUACAAUUUCAUGCAGACAAUGACUUGUUUAUAUUGCUCUAUGGACUAUACAUUGGAUGUAAGUACAAUAGUUAUAUUCCAAUUGAUUUAUUUUAUAAUUAUAUGGCAAAAAUGAGAACAUAAUCGAUUACUCAAUAAUAGCGUCCUGUGACGCUUUUGUAUUUUUAUGUCUGAUUUUGUAAGCAAGUAGUGUUUAAGUGAGGUGAAACUUGGAGUACGCAAGACAAAUGAGACUCCUGAAAGGGGUACAGUAGUCUGGAAAGGCUGAGAGCCACUGUUCAAAGGUAUGUAGACUUCUAACUUCCAUUACAUCAAUAGAAGCUAGGAACCUAAAUACCUCUGAGGAUCUGAGCCACGGAGCUUACAUUUCUCAGUG